rnacentral:rRNA from 1 species
CCUACGGGGGCAGCAGUGGGGAAUAUUGGACAAUGGGCGAAAGCCUGAUCCAGCCAUGCCGCGUGUGUGAAGAAGGCCUUCGGGUUGUAAAGCACUUUCAGUGGGGAAGAAAGCCUUGGGGCUAAUACCCUCGAGGAAGGACAUCACCCACAGAAGAAGCACCGGCUAACUCCGUGCCAGCAGCCGCGGUAAUACGGAGGGUGCGAGCGUUAAUCGGAAUUACUGGGCGUAAAGCGCGCGUAGGCGGUCUGAUAAGCCGGUUGUGAAAGCCCCGGGCUCAACCUGGGAACGGCAUCCGGAACUGUCAGGCUAGAGUGCAGGAGAGGAAGGUAGAAUUCCCGGUGUAGCGGUGAAAUGCGUAGAGAUCGGGAGGAAUACCAGUGGCGAAGGCGGCCUUCUGGACUGACACUGACGCUGAGGUGCGAAAGCGUGGGUACCAAACAGGAUUAGAUACCCCGGUAGUC